rfam:Picea glauca, whole genome shotgun sequence.
GCAUGCAUACAGCAUAGCAUUAAUGCAUCGGAUCCCAUUAGAACUCCACACUUAAGCGUGCUCAAGAUAGAGUAGUAUUGGGAUGGGUGACCGCCUGGGAAGUCCUAGUGUUUUACAUGCC